rnacentral:rRNA from 1 species
AUACGGAGGGUGCAAGCGUUAUUCGGAAUUAUUGGGCGUAAAGAGCGCGUAGGCGGCCUGACGAGUCAGGUGUGAAAUCCCGGGGCUCAACCCCGGAAGUGCAUUUGAUACUGUCAGGCUUGAGUAUGGGAGAGGGAAGUGGAAUUCCUGGUGUAGCGGUGAAAUGCGUAGAUAUCAGGAGGAACACCGGUGGCGAAGGCGGCUUCCUGGACCAAUACUGACGCUGAGGCGCGAAGGCGUGGGGAGC